rnacentral:rRNA from 1 species
AUUGAACGCUGGCGGCAGGCCUAACACAUGCAAGUCGAGCGAGCGGCGGACGUGUGAGUAAUGUAUGGGGACUGCCCGAUAGAGGGGGAUAACUACUGGAAACGGUAGCUAAUACCGCAUACUAUCGGAUAACCCAUAUGGGAUUAGCUAGUAGGUGGGGUAAUGGCUCACCUAGGCGACGAUCCCUAGCUGGUCUGAGAGGAUGUUCAGCCACACUGGGACUGAGACACGGACCAGAAUCCUACGGAGGCGGCAGUGGGGAAUAUUGCACAAGGGGCGCAAGCCGGAUGAAGACAUGCCGGGUGUAUGAAGAAGGCCCUAGGGUUGUAAAGUAAUUUCAGACGGGAGGCGUUACCGACAGAAGAAGCACCGGCUAACUCCGUGCCAGCAGACGCGGUAAUAC